GCUUCAAGCUUUUUUGUGACCAUCUCUAGGUUACGUGUGCUAACCUCAAGAAUAAGACCAAGUUCUUCAGCAAAUAGCACAUGGAGAAGGUCAUAACCAUGAGAGGGCAAAUUUAACUGUACUCCAGAAUUCCCCGCAAAUGCCAUUUCAAGAGCAGAAACAAUAAUCCCGCCAUCGCUGAUGUCGUGACCAGCAGAAAUCAAUCGAUCCGACAGAAGGUCCUGAACAGUCUCAAACACCUUUUUCAGGUAAGGGACGUCAUCAAGAUCAGGGCAGUCAUUGCCAACUUGGUCAAAUGCUUGUAGAAGAGCAGAACCACCCAAACGCCGUUUCCCCUUUGCCAGGUCGAUAUGCAGCAGAACACCAUCAUUUCCCAGCUUCAGAUCCGGAGUCACUGUCAGUGUUAUAUCUGGACAAGUAACAUAGGCACUGAUGACAAGA
rnacentral:misc_RNA from 1 species